AUGGGCGAAGCCUGACCAGCGACGCCGCGUGGGGGAUGAAGGCUUUCGGGUUGUAAACCCCUUUUCUCGGGGAAGAACAAUGACGGUACCUGAGGAAUAAGUCUCGGCUAACUACGUGCCAGCAGCCGCGGUAAUACGUAGGAGACGAGCGUUAUCCGGAUUUACUGGGCGUAAAGCGGGCGUAGGCGGUCCUUCAAGUCGGAUGUGAAAUAUCCCGGCUCAACCGGGAGGGGCCAUUCGAUACUGUUGGGCUAGAGGACAGCAGAGGGAAGUGGAAUUCCCGGUGUAGUGGUGAUAUGCGUAGAUAUCGGGAGGAACACCAGUGGCGAAGGCGGCUUCCUGGGCUGUUGCUGACGCUGAGGCCCUAAAGCGUGGGGAGCGAACAGGAUUAGAUACCCUGGUAGUCCACGCUGUAAACGAUGGACACUAGGUAUGGGGAGUAUCGACCCUUUCCGUGCCGAAGCUAACGCUUUAAGUGUCCCGCCUGGGGACUACGGCCGCAAGGCUAAAACUCAAAGGAAUUGACGGGG
rnacentral:rRNA from 1 species